CACAAUCCACUGCCUUGAUCCACUUGGCUACAUCCGCCCU
rnacentral:tRNA from 1 species